ACGGUCCUAAGGUAGCGAAAUUCCUUGUCGGGUAAGUUCCGACCUGCACGAAUGGCAUAAUGAUGGCCAGGCUGUCUCCACCCGAGACUCAGUGAAAUUGAAAUCGCCGUGAAGAUGCGGUGUACCCGCGGCUAGACGGAAAGACCCCGUGAACCUUUACUAUAGCUUGACACUGAACAUUGAAUUUUGAUGUGUAGGAUAGGUGGGAGACUUUGAAGUAGUCACGCCAGUGAUUAUGGAGUCGUCCUUGAAAUACCACCCUUUAACGUUUGAUGUUCUAACGAAGAUUGCGAAACGCGGUCUCGGACAGUGUCUGGUGGGUAGUUUGACUGGGGCGGUCUCCUCCCAAAGAGUAACGGAGGAGCACGAAGGUUUGCUAAUCACGGUCGGACAUCGUGAGGUUAGUGCAAUGGUAUAAGCAAGCUUAACUGCGAGACAGACAAGUCGAGCAGGUACGAAAGUAGGUCAUAGUGAUCCGGUGGUUCUGCAUGGAAGGGCCAUCGCUCAACGGAUAAAAGGUACUCCGGGGAUAACAGGCUGAUACCGCCCAAGAGUUCAUAUCGACGGCGGUGUUUGGCACCUCGAUGUCGGCUCAUCUCAUCCUGGGGCUGUAGCCGGUCCCAAGGGUAUGGCUGUUCGCCAUUUAAAGAGGUACGUGAGCUGGGUUUAAAACGUCGUGAGACAGUUUGGUCCCUAUCUGCUGUGGGCGUUGGAGAUUUGACGGGGGCUGCUCCUAGUACGAGAGGACCGGAGUGGACACACCUCUGGUGUACCUGUUGUCACGCCAGUGGCAUCGCAGGGUAGCUAAGUGUGGAAGAGAUAACCGCUGAAAGCAUCUAAGCGGGAAACUUGCCUGAAGAUGAGAUCUCCCUGGGGACUCGAUCCCCCUGAAGGGUCGUCCAAGACCAGGACGUUGAUAGGCCGGGUGUGGAAGCGCAGUAAUGCGUGCAGCUAACCGGUACUAAUUGCCCGUGAGGCUUGACCCU
rnacentral:rRNA from 1 species